rnacentral:rRNA from 1 species
GACGAACGCUGGCGGCGUGCUUAACACAUGCAAGUCGAACGGAAAGGCCCCUUUGGGGGUACUCGAGUGGCGAACGGGGGAGUAACAGUUGAGUAACCAGCCCUUGACUUCGGGAUAACUUCAGGAAACUGGGGCUAAUACCGGAUAGGAAUCCUAUCUGCAUGGGGGGGGUUGGAAAGCUUCGGCGGUUUUGGAUGGACUCGCGGCUUAUCAGCUUGUUGGUGGGGUAGUGGCUUACCAAGGCGUUGACGGGUAGCCGGCCUGAGAGGGCGACCGGCCACAUUGAGACUGAGAUAAGGCACAGACUCCUACGGGAGGCAGCAGGGGGGAAUAUUGCACAAUGGGCGGCAGCCUGGUGCAGCAACGCCGCGUGCGGGAUGACGGCCUUCGGGUUGUAAACCGCUUUCAGCAGGGGCGAAGCUUGUGGUGACGGUACCUGAAGAAGAAGCACCGGCUAACUACGUG